GUCCAGCCUGGACAGUGGAGAAGGAAUGGGAAUCACAGCCCACAGAGACAUGAAAGCAAAGUACUAAGAUCUGGACUUGGGGCAGAAAGUCAGGAAAUGGAGGCCUUGCAGGAAAAGUACAAGUGCUUUGGAUAGUUCCAAAUCCAAAAAAAACUGAUACUAAAUGUUCAUUCUUAGUACAAUCUUAAACAGUCUUCUCUUCUAAGUGAUAGUGACACUUCAUAUCCAGCUUGGUAAUGUCUCCAAUUUAAUGGCAUGAAAGUUGGCUACAAGGGGGAAUAACCUAGCCUGGGAACAGUGAUUAGGGUGAAUGUGAUCAGUGGUCAUGUGUCCUGACACCCUUACAUUAUUUUUUUCCAGAAUGUCCACCCCCCCGCUUAAAGACAUCUUUUUUCACUUUUCUCACAGGGUCAGAAGGGAAAUCCCAAGGGUCGUCAGAAUGAAAGGGUAGU
rnacentral:lncRNA from 1 species